CAAGUUGGCUGGGUGAUCGCGGUUGAGCGCUCGCAAGAGCGCUUGACUGAGGAAAGUCCGCACUCCACAGGGCACGGCGCCGGCUAACAGCCGGGCGGGGCGACCCGACGGCAAGUGCAACAGAGAGGCAUAUUGCCAGCCAAACGGUCUUCCGUUUGGCCGGUGAGGGUGAAACGGUGGUGUAAGAGACCACCGGCGGCGGCCGUAAUGCCGCCGGCCAGGCAAACCCCGCCGGGAGCAAGACCAAGCAGGGCGAAGGGUUUUGCGGCUCGUCCGCCAGACCCACGGCGCGGCCCGCGCCGUCCGACGU
rnacentral:RNase_P_RNA from 1 species